UCAAGAGUGUAUCAGUCUGUAGUGGAAGGAAGGCGGGGUAGGGGUCGGCCUAGGAAAGGUUGGAGGGAGGGGGUAAAGGAGGUUUUGUGUGCGAGGGGCUUGGACUUCCAGCAGGCAUGCGUGAGCGUGUUUGGUAGGAGUGAAUGGAGACAAAUGGUUUUUAAUACUUGACGUGCUGUUGGAGUGUGAGCAAAGUAACAUUUAUGAAGGGGUUCAGGGAAACCGGCAGGCCGGACUUGAGUCCUGGAGAUGGGAAGUACAGUGCCUGCACUCUGAAGGAGGGGUGUUAAUGUUGCAGUUUAAAAACUGUAGUGUAAAGCACCCUUCUGGCAAGACAGUGAUGGAGUGAAUGAUGGUGAAAGUUUUUCUUUUUCGGGCCACCCUGCCUUGGUGGGCAUCGGCCAGUGUGAUAAUAAUAAUAAAUAACAAAGGCUAUGAUCAAGAAAGAGAUCAGAAGGUACAGGAAGUUGAAGUACCCAUUCACUGGCCUCCACUUUGAGAAAAUUAAGAUUACAGAGGCACAUAAUGGGUCCAGAGACAGGACAGAAAGUUUUGAUAGGUAAAUAAGUUAUAAUGGUAGAAGGGGUUCGGUUGUGCAGUGCGGGGAUACCUUUCACGAAUUACAUAGAGACAGAAAUACAAAGUGGUUUUUACACUUUUUAAUUGCUAAGAGCUAUUACCCUAAUUCAUUUUAAAAUUCAAUUCUAAGAUAUAUUAGUAAUAACCCAAAGUGAAUAAGGUCAACAGGUGUAACGAAACUUGCACAGAGUCUAUGUUCAUCUGGGUGUGUGAGUUGUGACCCAGAAUCGAUGGUCACGAAGCUGGUCACCAUGACCAGAUGACCCAGUGGCAGGCAGAGAAGGACGAACCUGGCCAUCACGGCAUGGUGACCCACCCUCAGUACAUAUAUAUUUUUAAUCAUGAUACGCAGUAGUUCAAUUAGUGGAAGGCCUCUGUAAGAUGACCAAAAACUCCAGCUGUGGGUCAUCAUAUGACUAAGACCUGUGUUAUUAUUAUUAUUAUUAUUUCUAUUAUUAUGCCAGAAACGCUUGUCCUGUUUCCUGAUGGACCUUACCUGACCUAACCAUUAUUAUUAUAAUCAUGGGGAGUGCUAAACCCGUAGGAUUAUACAGCGCAUGUAGAGGGGCUGGAAGGUAUUCAGGCUCAGUUUAGUUAACUGGAGCAGAGAUCCAAUUCCCUAGAUCAAGAGCCCCUGACCAGCAUCAAGGGGUCUAACCUAACCAGUUGUUCAGUGUUGUAAAACAUUCAAGAACAAAUAACUAGUUUUUGGUUAGCUAAGAAUAAGACAUUAUUGAUGAAUAGUAUUAGGUUAUAUUUUUGCUGUUUCUUACUAUUAUUGGGAAGGCUUAAAAUAUAUUUUUACAGCGCUGUAUGACCCUAGCAGGUUUAGCGCUUUGUUUUUAUUAUACAAUAUAAUUACAAUAUAUUAAUUAUAGUUGUGAUCAGGAAAAUGUUGAUUGAUGUAAUUGUUUAAUAAUAAUAAUAUGAGUUUGGGAUCAAUAUGACACACACAUAGGUCUACAUGAUGAAAUUUCCCCAUUGGUUAUAAGAUUGUGGAACUUUCAAUAAGAAAAUAAAAAAAAAAUGACACACUCAUAUAUUUAUUAAAGCAGUCAUAUAUCUAGUCAGGUUGUUUAUUGUUAAGGUAAGAUAUUGUACUGUGAGUAUGUACAAACAAAGCUUUAAAACAGAGUCCACAUUAUUACACAGUACCUUCAGAAUACAGUCUUUAUUAGCUGGCAAUACAGAUUGAAUAAAAUAUAUUGAGAGUGUUAGUACAAGUAGAACACACAUAUCUGACUUGAUAAUCCGUCACUGUCAAACACCUACAGAGAUUAUAACUACUUUCUGUCUAUGUUUUCUAAAUAACAAUAUAAGUAACUAGAUUUUUAAUAGCAUAGAGUAGCAUGAAGCAAAAAAGAAAAUUAUAAAGUUAAAACUCAUACUUUAACAAUUAAAAUAAUAACUCAGGAUAACUAUGGUAAGUUACUAAGAGCCAAGGGAACACUUAAUUAAAUUUGUUUCCCAAGGAUGUAUGUGACACACUGAAUUUAUCAUCAUAUUUAAUCAAGCAGUUUAAUUCGAGCAACAGAAUUGUAAUUAAUGGUUGCAAUAUUUCAGCCAGUGAGUGUAAAAUUAAAUACUCAAAAUGGGUAUAGUUAUAUUGUUUGAAUAUUACAGUCAUUUCAUAGGUUAGUCUUAUUAAAUAUUUGUUAAUUAUCUGUCUAAUACAAUAUGUGAAAACAAUCUUAGUAUUUAAAAUGUCAUUAACGCUAAAGUUAUUUCAUAUAUUACUUAAUGUAACUGGUAAAGUGUAGACAGACUCAGGAUUGUAGAUACAAUUAACACUGAAAUGAGUUAUCAUUUACUCAAAUUUGUUUGGAUGUGUCUCCAUAUGGUUCAAUUUUUGGAUAGUCUAAGAUAUAGUUCCAGUGUGUGGCCCUGUCUGUGUCCACACACUUUACAUUUCAUGUGAUUGAGAUUAUCAUACAAUAUCUUAGCCUAAGUGUAGCAGUGACAUUUUAUACUCUAGUGACUUUCUUACUUCAGUAAUGUUUUACUUGACACAUUUCAUUAUGAUGGACACGGGAUAUACUAGUUCCUCUCUAUACUCUUCUGCUGUCUUCACAUUUAUUUGUUAGCUCUGCUCUGGCAGUGGUUUUCAAACUUCUGUUGACAAACAAAUUUAGCCAAGGUCUCGACUUUAUUAUGUUCCUGGAGGCUUAUAAAAGAGAAACCACAAGAUCUUACCUCAUUAGGAUGUCUGGGUAUUUAGAUCAAACGAAAUGUGAACAGGGAGUUGGAGGUAAUUAAAUUUCCUAGUUUUAACUUCUGCAAACUUUAGAACAAUAAGUACGUAUAGCAAAAAAAAUCACUUUUGUAAUCUGGGUAACAUGGAUCCAUAAUUGAUAUACCUGGAAUAUGUUAAGCUACAGUUUCUUAGUUCAAGUGAAAUAAAAAAUGACACUUGAUUAUCAGACUCAAAGAAGCUUAAAUGGCAUGUUAUUUUAAUAAGCCUUUGUUUACCCCUCCUAACUGAGUGUCCUCGUUCAGUGUUUUUGUUCUUAUAACUUGACGUAUUUACACUGAUGGGCUUCUGAAAUUUCAAACGAUUGAACUUCAUAUAUUUUGGGAUGAUUCUACUUUCGUCUUGGUGGUAGGAGACUCAGACUUUCAACUUGAUGUUCCGAGAAUGCAAAUAUUUUUUUUUUUCCAUGGAAUUUGAAUGUUGCUGAUCAAAAAUGUAUGUGAGUGUAUGUUUAUUUUGUAUAACUGUAAGAGAGAGAGUUCCUUUUUUGCAGUUAUCCUUUGUUCUUUAUUGAUCCUCGCCGCAUCUUUCACAGGUCUUCAGUGCUUUCUCAGAGUCUAUCAAAAGUCUUCAAUGUUUUUCAGAGGUCUGAAGUGUUGCUCAGCGUCCUUCAGAGGUCUGAAGUGUUGCUCAGCGUCCUUCAGAGGUCUGAAGUGUUGUUCAGCGUCCUUCAGAGGUCUGAAGUGUUGUUCAGCGUCCUUCAGAGGUCUGAAGUGUUGUUCAGCAUCCUUCAGAGGUCUGAAGUGUUGUUCAGUGUCCUUCAGAGGUCUGAAGUGUUCAGCAUCCUUCAGAGGUCUGAAGUGUUGUUCAGCGUCCUUCAGAGGUCUGAAGUGUUCAGUGUCCUUCAGUGGUCUGAAGUGUUCAGCGUCCU